rnacentral:rRNA from 1 species
CUAAAUACUCCUGACUGACCGAUAGUGAACCAGUACCGUGAGGGAAAGGCGAAAAGAACCCCGGCGAGGGGAGUGAAAAAGAACCUGAAACCGUGUACGUACAAGCAGUGGGAGCCUCUUAAUGGGGUGACUGCGUACCUUUUGUAUAAUGGGUCAGCGACUUAUAUUCUGUAGCAAGGUUAACCGAAUAGGGGAGCCGAAGGGAAACCGAGUCUUAACUGGGCGUUAAGUUGCAGGGUAUAGACCCGAAACCCGGUGAUCUAGCCAUGGGCAGGUUGAAGGUUGGGUAACACUAACUGGAGGACCGAACCGACUAAUGUUGAAAAAUUAGCGGAUGACUUGUGGCUGGGGGUGAAAGGCCAAUCAAACCGGGAGAUAGCUGGUUCUCCCCGAAAGCUAUUUAGGUAGCGCCUCGUGAAUUCAUCUCCGGGGGUAGAGCACUGUUUCGGCAAGGGGGUCAUCCCGACUUACCAACCCGAUGCAAACUGCGAAUACCGGAGAAUGUUAUCACGGGAGACACACGGCGGGUGCUAACGUCCGUCGUGAAGAGGGAAACAACCCAGACCGCCAGCUAAGGUCCCAAAGUCAUGGUUAAGUGGGAAACGAUGUGGGAAGGCCCAGACAGCCAGGAUGUUGGCUUAGAAGCAGCCAUCAUUUAAAGAAAGCGUAAUAGCUCACUGGUCGAGUCGGCCUGCGCGGAAGAUGUAACGGGGCUAAACCAUGCACCGAAGCUGCGGCAGCGACACUAUGUGUUGUUGGGUAGGGGAGCGUUCUGUAAGCCUGUGAAGGUGGCCUGUGAGGGUUGCUGGAGGUAUCAGAAGUGCGAAUGCUGACAUAAGUAACGAUAAAGCGGGUGAAAAGCCCGCUCGCCGGAAGACCAAGGGUUCCUGUCCAACGUUAAUCGGGGCAGGGUGAGUCGACCCCUAAGGCGAGGCCGAAAGGCGUAGUCGAUGGGAAACAGGUUAAUAUUCCUGUACUUGGUGUUACUGCGAAGGGGGGACGGAGAAGGCUAUGUUGGCCGGGCGACGGUUGUCCCGGUUUAAGCGUGUAGGCUGGUUUUCCAGGCAAAUCCGGAAAACCAAGGCUGAGGCGUGAUGACGAGGCACUACGGUGCUGAAGCGACAAAUGCCCUGCUUCCAGGAAAAGCCUCUAAGCAUCAGGUAACAUCAAAUCGUACCCAAAACCGACACAGGUGGUCAGGUAGAGAAUACCAAGGCGCUUGAGAGAACUCGGGUGAAGGAACUAGGCAAAAUGGUGCCGUAACUUCGGGAGAAGGCACGCUGAUAUGUAGGUGAAGCGACUUGCUCGUGGAGCUGAAAUCAGUCGAAGAUACCAGCUGGCUGCAACUGUUUAUUAAAAACACAGCACUGUGCAAACACGAAAGUGGACGUAUACGGUGUGACGCCUGCCCGGUGCCGGAAGGUUAAUUGAUGGGGUUAGCGGUAACGCGAAGCUCUUGAUCGAAGCCCCGGUAAACGGCGGCCGUAACUAUAACGGUCCUAAGGUAGCGAAAUUCCUUGUCGGGUAAGUUCCGACCUGCACGAAUGGCGUAAUGAUGGCCAGGCUGUCUCCACCCGAGACUCAGUGAAAUUGAACUCGCUGUGAAGAUGCAGUGUACCCGCGGCAAGACGGAAAGACCCCGUGAACCUUUACUAUAGCUUGACACUGAACAUUGAGCCUUGAUGUGUAGGAUAGGUGGGAGGCUUUGAAGUGUGGACGCCAGUCUGCAUGGAGCCGACCUUGAAAUACCACCCUUUAAUGUUUGAUGUUCUAACGUUGGCCCGUAAUCCGGGUUGCGGACAGUGUCUGGUGGGUAGUUUGACUGGGGCGGUCUCCUCCUAAAGAGUAACGGAGGAGCACGAAGGUUGGCUAAUCCUGGUCGGACAUCAGGAGGUUAGUGCAAUGGCAUAAGCCAGCUUGACUGCGAGCGUGACGGCGCGAGCAGGUGCGAAAGCAGGUCAUAGUGAUCCGGUGGUUCUGAAUGGAAGGGCCAUCGCUCAACGGAUAAAAGGUACUCCGGGGAUAACAGGCUGAUACCGCCCAAGAGUUCAUAUCGACGGCGGUGUUUGGCACCUCGAUGUCGGCUCAUCACAUCCUGGGGCUGAAGUAGGUCCCAAGGGUAUGGCUGUUCGCCAUUUAAAGUGGUACGCGAGCUGGGUUUAGAACGUCGUGAGACAGUUCGGUCCCUAUCUGCCGUGGGCGCUGGAGAACUGAGGGGGGCUGCUCCUAGUACGAGAGGACCGGAGUGGACGCAUCACUGGUGUUCGGGUUGUCAUGCCAAUGGCACUGCCCGGUAGCUAAAUGCGGAAGAGAUAAGUGCUGAAAGCAUCUAAGCACGAAACUUGCCCCGAGAUG